rnacentral:lncRNA from 11 species
CUUUCAGCAAAGAAGAGAAGCUCCUUGAAUCAUCGGGAUGACUGUGUGCUGAAGGUGCUGAGCUGUGCAUAGCUCCUUUGGCUAAGCUUUUGUGGAAACAUCAUCUGUUGUUAAUUCAGUCCAGGAUUCCUGCAAACAGAAGCAAAACAAUCCAGGAGAGAGAUGGAACCAGCGGUGAAGGCACCCAAGGUGAAAGCCUCCCCAAAGUCAAGUGAAAAUGAAAAAACAGGAGCACCCCAAAGAGCAGCAGAAAUCAUGGCAAACAGAAAAGACAGGAGCCCUGAACAAACACUGGAGACCACAUUGAAAACACCGGGAACCAGUACAGUACCAAGGAUGGCAACUGCAAAAGCUUCAACAUCUGAUAUAAUACUCAGAGCAGCAGAAAAGGUGGCAAGAUCACAGGUUGAGUUAGUACUGAAAUCAGCAAGAGCAGAGCUGAAACAGAGGAGAAAGGGAAGUUUGAAGCAAAAAGAUCUGCACCAGCUAGAGGAAAAUGGAAUUAAUGAAACUGAAAGGAAAUAAAGGAGCAAAAUAACCAGCAGGCACACAGUAUGUUAGCAACUGAACAAUGUGACCCUGAGAAUUAACUGCAUAUCAAACCCAAUGUCAGUAUUUGUGUCAUCCCUUGGAAACAUUUGACCAAUAAAGGUGCUCUGCAUCCUCAGUUGCAAGCCAUUGUUUGUAUACUUGGAAGAUGGAAAUCUUUGUGUCAUCCUGUAUAUUUGAGGCAUCAUAGUGACGCACAAAAAUAAUUAUUUGACCAGAAUAAAUAAAUAAAUAAAAAUGUACUAAUUCAGCUC